rnacentral:rRNA from 1 species
UACGUAGGGCGCAAGCGUUAUCCGGAAUUAUUGGGCGUAAAGAGCUCGUAGGCGGAUUGUUAAGUCAGGGGUGAAAUCCUGGAGCUCAACUCCAGAACUGCCUUUGAUACUGGCGAUCUCGAGUCCGGGAGAGGUGAGUGGAACUGCGAGUGUAGAGGUGAAAUUCGUAGAUAUUCGCAAGAACACCAGUGGCGAAGGCGGCUCACUGGCCCGGUACUGACGCUGAGGUGCGAAAGCGUGGGGAGCAAACAGG